rnacentral:rRNA from 1 species
UACAGAGGGGGCAAGCGUUGUUCGGAAUUACUGGGCGUAAAGGGCGCGUAGGCAGCCUGUUAAGUCGAACGUGAAAUCCCAGGGCUUAACCCUGGGCCUGCAGUGGGUACGGGCAAACUAGAGUGCGGUAGGGGAGAUCGGAAUUCCUGGUGUAGCGGUGAAAUGCGCAGAUAUCAGGAGGAACACCGGUGGCGAAGGCGGAUCUCUGGGCCGUAACUGACGCUGAGGAGCGAAAGCAUGGGUAGCGAACAGG